UACGAAGGGGGCUAGCGUUGUUCGGAUUUACUGGGCGUAAAGCGCACGUAGGCGGUUUGUUAAGUCAGAGGUGAAAUCCCGGAGCUCAACUCCGGAACUGCCUUUGAUACUGGCAAGCUAGAGUCCGGAAGAGGUAAGUGGAACUCCUAGUGUAGAGGUGGAAUUCGUAGAUAUUAGGAAGAACACCAGUGGCGAAGGCGGCUCACUGGACCAUAACUGACGCUGAGGCGCGAAAGCUAGGGGAGCAAACAGG
rnacentral:rRNA from 1 species